UAAGGAAUAUUGGUCAAUGGGCGCAAGCCUGAACCAGCCAUGCCGCGUGAAGGAAGAAGGCCUUAUGGGUCGUAAACUUCUUUUAUAAGGGAAAAAACAGUGGUACGUGUACCUCUUUGCUUGUACUUUAUGAAUAAGCAUCGGCUAACUCCGUGCCAGCAGCCGCGGUAAUACGGAGGAUGCGAGCGUUAUCCGGAUUCAUUGGGUUUAAAGGGUGCGCAGGCGGACUAAUAAGUCAGUGGUGAAAUCCCAUAGCUCAACUAUGGAACUGCCAUUGAUACUGGUAGACUAGAGUAUAGUUGACGGAGGCGGAAUGCGUCAUGUAGCGGUGAAAUGCUUAGAUAUGUCGCAGAACACCGAUUGCGAAGGCAGCUUACGAAACUAUAACUGACGCUCAUGCACGAAAGCGUGGGGAUCAAACA
rnacentral:rRNA from 1 species